AGUUCAUUAUGUUGGACAGGGCGCGUCUGCGCCUCCGGCCGCCGCGGCUCCCGGGGCCUCCGCCUGCAGCCGGCGGCGGAACGGGGGCAGGCGGCUGAGACGGGCGAGCUAUUUGCAUUCCCGGCAGUCAUUUUUAUAUGCGGAGGUAAUGAAGUUGUCAGCGGCGCCCCGAGUGUGGCAGAGCCUGAUAUUCAAAUCGCCCUGCCCGCUCCGCCUGCUCCCGCCCGCCUGUCCCGGGAGCCCCAGGCUGCGCGCGCCCGCACCGCAUCCCCGCUUUGCCCCGCGACCGCGCGCGCCUCCUCGUCCUCCCCCGCGCCUUUGUCUCCGUCUCCUUCUCGUUUCCUUCUCCUUUCCCUCCUCUUUUGUGUCGGGCCAGACUCAGCCCCAGAAACCAGCCACCCUGCCGCGUCCGACUGCCAGGGAUCCCGCACGCCGCGAGUACCAGAGAUGUCUCCAAGAGCACCAGCAACCCCAGCUAUCUGGAUCUGAAGUGGAUAUGCUCAGCGGCAUCCUGGCCCACCCCACCCCCCACCCCAGAGAAGAUGCUGCUGCUCUCAGAAGAUGCCAGAGCUAGCCACCACCCACACUGCAAGUCUGGAAGCUCUGCAAGGACCCAGCAAGGCAGCCUGCUCAGUGAAGGCUUUGUCUCCUGUGGCAGGAAGCGCAACAUUAAGAACAAGAACCCUGGGCUGGACUACCCUUGAGAUUUAAUGACCAGAGCUGAGACCCCCAAGACCACAAUGACUAUGGAGGGCUGUCAUCACCUUGCCUGACCCUCUAAUGCCUCUCAGUUCAAGGAGGCCACUGAGUGAAACCGAAGGCUGGUUUUCCUUGGAAGCCAGCGGCCCAUCCACCUGCUCCACUUCCCUGCCUCUUGCAGCCUCCGCUCAAACACUGUCGUGGCUUGGCAGCA
rnacentral:lncRNA from 1 species